rnacentral:rRNA from 1 species
UACGUAGGGUGCGAGCGUUACUCGGAAUCACUGGGCGUAAAAGCGUGCGUAGGCGGUUCGUUAAGUCUGUUGUGAAAAGCCCCUGGGGCUCAACCUGGGGAACUGCAGUGGGAUACUGGGCGAGCUUAGAGUACGGGGUAGAGGGAAAGGGGUGGGAAAUUUCCCCGGGUUGUAGCGGGUGAAAAUUGCGUAGAGAAUCGGGGAGGGAACACCCAGUGGGCGGAAAGGGCGGGCCCUUUCUGGGGA